ACUUUCUUAAACCACGGGUGUGCGGGAUCUCCUCCCAUUAGAUGUCAGAUGCAGACUGACUGACUGAUAGACAAUCUACUUGGAACGCAAAUUUGCGGUGCUCUUGCCAAAUUGGCAAGGGCUGGUCCCGUUCUUGUUGAGGUGCUGUUUGCCUGUGCAUGGAACGGGAGUGCAGCACCUGUCUGCAAUUCCUCCUGACGACGGAUUAAAAGAUGCUAGAACCAGGUGGCCGGUUUUGAGGCCGCAGAACCAGCGGCGCUGGGACCGCGGAGCCGGCUGCCCCUCGGCGCGCGUGCGGACGGAGGGCGUGUGCGGCUGCGCGGGAACGCGCUGAAGCGGCUGCGGGCUGCGCGCGGGAGCCGGGACAGAGCGCAGCUAAAGAAGUAAACAGGUCAUGGCACGUUUAACAAAAAGAUGACAGGCAGAUACAAAAGCUAUCCAGCAUCUUUGGGCAGCCAUUGAGAUUAUACGGAACCAGAAGCAAGUUGCCAACAUUGACCGUAUUACCAAAUUUCCAAUCAAGAUGUAAAGGGUGAAGAAUCAAAGAACAAAGAAUCAGUAACAACUGAAAUUUAAGCCUUCAAUCAUGCAGAUUCCUAAUAUGAUUCAUAACUCAUUGUCAUGUUACUUCUCUAAAUGCCAUGUAUAGUUUAAUGUCCAAUAAAAUCAAGUUACAUAUAUCA